GUAGGUAUAAUUUAAAUAAAAUGUUAGAUUGUGAUUCUAAAAAUAAAAGUUAAAAUCCUUUUACCCACC
rnacentral:tRNA from 1 species